rnacentral:precursor_RNA from 12 species
GUUCCUGGCUGUGGCUUGGACUAGAUGGCUGCGGAGGUCCGUUUCCACUCUGAAGUUAUGUGAUUCAGAGCUGGAAUGGACCUCAGAGGCCAUCUAGUCCCAUCUCCUCUUUGCACAGA